UACGUAGGGAGCAAGCGUUGUCCGGAUUUACUGGGUGUAAAGGGUGCGCAGGCGGAUUAGUAAGUCAGGGGUGAAAUCUCACGGCUCAACCGUGAAAUUGCCUUUGAUACUGCUAAUCUUGAGUUCAGAAGAGAGAAGCGGAAUUCCAGGUGUAGUAGUGAAAUACGUAGAUAUCUGGAAGAACACCAGUGGCGAAGGCGGCUUCUUGGUCUGUAACUGACACUGAGGCGCGAAAGCGUGGGGAGCAAACAGGAUUAGAAACCCGAGUAGU
rnacentral:rRNA from 1 species